GAUGAACGCUGGCGGCGUGCCUAAUACAUGCAAGUCGAGCGAACGGACGAGAAGCUUGCUUCUCUGAUGUUAGCGGCGGACGGGUGAGUAACACGUGGAUAACCUACCUAUAAGACUGGGAUAACUUCGGGAAACCGGAGCUAAUACCGGAUAAUAUUUUGAACCGCAUGGUUCAAAAGUGAAAGACGGUCUUGCUGUCACUUAUAGAUGGAUCCGCGCUGCAUUAGCUAGUUGGUAAGGUAACGGCUUACCAAGGCAACGAUGCAUAGCCGACCUGAGAGGGUGAUCGGCCACACUGGAACUGAGACACGGUCCAGACUCCUACGGGAGGCAGCAGUAGGGAAUCUUCCGCAAUGGGCGAAAGCCUGACGGAGCAACGCCGCGUGAGUGAUGAAGGUCUUCGGAUCGUAAAACUCUGUUAUUAGGGAAGAACAUAUGUGUAAGUAACUGUGCACAUCUUGACGGUACCUAAUCAGAAAGCCACGGCUAACUACGUGCCAGCAGCCGCGGUAAUACGUAGGUGGCAAGCGUUAUCCGGAAUUAUUGGGCGUAAAGCGCGCGUAGGCGGUUUUUUAAGUCUGAUGUGAAAGCCCACGGCUCAACCGUGGAGGGUCAUUGGAAACUGGAAAACUUGAGUGCAGAAGAGGAAAGUGGAAUUCCAUGUGUAGCGGUGAAAUGCGCAGAGAUAUGGAGGAACACCAGUGGCGAAGGCGACUUUCUGGUCUGUAACUGACGCUGAUGUGCGAAAGCGUGGGGAUCAAACAGGAUUAGAUACCCUGGUAGUCCACGCCGUAAACGAUGAGUGCUAAGUGUUAGGGGGUUUCCGCCCCUUAGUGCUGCAGCUAACGCAUUAAGCACUCCGCCUGGGGAGUACGACCGCAAGGUUGAAACUCAAAGGAAUUGACGGGGACCCGCACAAGCGGUGGAGCAUGUGGUUUAAUUCGAAGCAACGCGAAGAACCUUACCAAAUCUUGACAUCCUUUGACAACUCUAGAGAUAGAGCUUUCCCCUUCGGGGGACAAAGUGACAGGUGGUGCAUGGUUGUCGUCAGCUCGUGUCGUGGGAUGUUGGGUUAAGUCCCGCAACGAGCGCAACCCUUAAGCUUAGUUGCCAUCAUUAAGUUGGGCACUCUAAGUUGACUGCCGGUGACAAACCGGAGGAAGGUGGGGAUGACGUCAAAUCAUCAUGCCCCUUAUGAUUUGGGCUACACACGUGCUACAAUGGACAAUACAAAGGGCAGCGAAACCGUGAGGUCAAGCAAAUCCCAUAAAGUUGUUCUCAGUUCGGAUUGUAGUCUGCAACUCGACUACAUGAAGCUGGAAUCGCUAGUAAUCGUAGAUCAGCAUGCUACGGUGAAUACGUUCCCGGGUCU
rnacentral:rRNA from 1 species